rnacentral:misc_RNA from 1 species
GGAUGUAAAAGUCGUAACAAGGUUUCCGUAGGUGAACCUGCGGAAGGAUCAUUAUUGGAUUUUGAAACUUCAGGCUGCUGCUGGCUCUCCUCGGAGGGCAUGUGCACGCUUGUUGUCCAUUAUUUCUCCCACUGUGCACAAAUUGUAGACCUUUCAGUAGGCCUAUGUUGUUUUUCACAAUCUCUGAAUGUAAUAGAAUGGUUUUGAAUCUUGGGAAAUACAAUACAACUUUCAGCAACGGAUCUCUUGGCUCUC